CACGGACCGCACGAACGUUUAUUCGGUAUCACUGGGCUUAAAGGGUGCGUAGGCGGCUUUGCAAGUUGGGUGUGAAAGCCCUCGGCUCAACCGAGGAAUUGCGCUCAAUACUGCCGAGCUCGAGAGAGACAGAGGUAAGCGGAACUAAUGGUGGAGCGGUGAAAUGCGCAGAUAUCAGGAGGAACACCUAUUGCGAAGGCAGCUCGCUGGGACGUAACUGACGCUGAGACGCGAAAGCGUGGGGAGCGAACAGG
rnacentral:rRNA from 1 species